rnacentral:rRNA from 1 species
CGGGUGAGUAACACGUGAGUAACCUGCCUUAGACAUUUGGAUAGCCUCGGGAAACCGGGAUUAAUACCAAAUAAAAUCAUAAUGACACAUGUCAUAACGAUCAAAACUCCGGUGGUCUAAGAUGGACUCGCGUCCCAUUAGCUAGUUGGUAGAGUAAAAGCCUACCAAGGCGACGAUGGGUAGCCGGCCUGAGAGGGUGACCGGCCACAUUGGGACUGAGAUACGGCCCAG